rnacentral:rRNA from 1 species
GACGAACGCUGGCGGCGUGCUUAACACAUGCAAGUCGAACGGAAAGGCCCUGCUUUUGUGGGGUGCUCGAGUGGCGAACGGGUGAGUAACACGUGAGUAACCUGCCCUUGACUUUGGGAUAACUUCAGGGAACUGGGGCUAAUAUCGGAUAGGAGCUCCUGCUGCAUGGUGGGGGUUGGAAAGUUUCGGCGGUUGGGGAUGGACUCGCAGCUUAUCAGCUUGUUGGGGGGGUAGUGGCUUACCAAGGCUUUGACGGGUAGGCGGCCUGAGAGGUGGAACGGGCACAUUGGGACUGAGGGAGGGCGCAGACGCCUACCGGAGGCAGCAGUGGGGAAUAUUGCACAAUGGGCGCAAGUCUGAUGCAGCAACGCCGCGUGCGGGAUGACGGCCUUCGGGUUGUAAACCGCUUUCGCCUGUGACGAAGCGUGAGUGACGGUAAUGGGUAAAGAAGCACCGGCUAACUACGUG